GUAAGGAAUAUUGGACAAUGGCCGCAAGGCUGAUCCAGCCAUGCCGCGUGCAGGAAGACGGACCUAUGGUUUGUAAACUGCUUUUGAACUAGAGAAAACCCCUUUACGUGUAAAGGGCUGAUAGUAUAGUUAGAAUAAGCAUCGGCUAACUUCGUGCCAGCAGCCGCGGUAAGACGAAGGAUGCAAGCGUUAUCCGGAUUCAUUGGGUUUAAAGGGAGCGUAGGCGGACUUGUAAGUCAGUGGUGAAAUCUUUGGGCUUAACCCAGAAACUGCCAUUGAUACUGCAGGUCUAGAGUACAGUUGCCGUUGGCGGAAUAUGACAUGUAGUGGUGAAAUACUUAGAUAUGUCAUAGAACACCGAUUGCGAAGGCAGCUAACGAAGCUGUAACUGACGCUGAGGCUCGAAAGUGCGGGGAUCAAACAGGAUUAGAAACCCGGGUAGUCC
rnacentral:rRNA from 1 species